GCACUGGUGGUUCAGUGGUAGAAUACUCGCCUGCCACGCGGGUGACCCGGGUUCGAUUCCCGGCCAGUGCA
rnacentral:tRNA from 1 species